UCCCUGUGAAGUCGGCGAUUUGGCGUGAUUCGGGGGAUUUGGAGAUCGAUUCUUGAUCUCAAAAUUUGUAAAUUUUGGGUUUUCUGGGGGUUUUUUGCAAUUUUCCCAAGGGGUAUAAAUAGUGGAGAGGUUUUCCCCAAAUCCUCACAACACCUUUGCCACUUCUAAAUCGCCCAAACUUUCAGAUUUUUGAAUCGCCGAUUCCUCAGUUUUAAACCUUCGAAUCGUCGAUUCCCCCAAUGUCUACCCCCGAUUCCCCUUUGUCAUUGUUGAAAGAA
rnacentral:lncRNA from 1 species